UGCGUAGGCGGUUAUUUAAGUCUUUGGUGUAAGUGCAGGGCUCAACUCUGUGAUGCUAAGGAAACUGGAUAACUUGAGUGUGGUAGAGGUAAGUAGAAUUCCAUGUGUAGCGGUAAAAUGCGUAAAUAUAUGGAGGAAUACCAGUGGCGAAGGCGGCUUACUGGGCCACAACUGACGCUGAGGCACGAAAACGUGGGGAGCAAACAGGAUUAGAUACCCUGGUAGUCC
rnacentral:rRNA from 1 species